rnacentral:tRNA from 1 species
UGCGGGGUGGAGCAGCUUGGUAGCUCGUCGGGCUCAUAACCCGAAGGCCGUCGGUUCAAAUCCGGCCCCCGCAACCA